rnacentral:rRNA from 1 species
CCUACGGGUGGCAGCAGUGAGGAAUAUUGGUCAAUGGACGCAAGUCUGAACCAGCCAAGCCGCGUGCAGGAAGACGGCCCUAUGAGUUGUAAACUGCUUUUGUACGAGGGUAAACUCAGAUACGCGUAUCUGUCUGAAAGUACCGUACGAAUAAGGAUCGGCUAACUCCGUGCCAGCAGCCGCGGUAAUACGGAGGAUUCAAGCGUUAUCCGGAUUUCGUGGGUUUAAAGGGUGCGUAGGCGGUCGGUUAAGUUAGAGGUGAAAUCUCGAGGCUCAACUUCGGAAUUGCCUCUGAAACUGGUCGGCUAGAGUGUAGUUGCGGUAGGCGGAAUGUAUGGUGUAGCGGUGAAAUGCUUAGAGAUCAUGCAGAACACCGAUCGCGAAGGCAGCUUACCGGGCUACUUCUGACGUUGAGGCACGAAAGCGUGGGGAGCAAACAGGAUUAGAUACCCCAGUAGUC